rnacentral:rRNA from 1 species
UGGGGAAUCUUGCGCAAUGGGCGAAAGCCUGACGCAGCCAUGCCGCGUGAAUGAUGAAGGUCUUAGGAUUGUAAAAUUCUUUCACCGGGGACGAUAAUGACGGUACCCGGAGAAGAAGCCCCGGCUAACUUCGUGCCAGCAGCCGCGGUAAUACGAAGGGGGCUAGCGUUGCUCGGAAUUACUGGGCGUAAAGGGAGCGUAGGCGGACAUUUAAGUCAGGGGUGAAAUCCCGGGGCUCAACCUCGGAAUUGCCUUUGAUACUGGGUGUCUUGAGUAUGAGAGAGGUGUGUGGAACUCCGAGUGUAGAGGUGAAAUUCUUAAAAAUUCGGAGAAAAACCCAGUGGCGAAGGCGACACACUGGCUCAUUACUGACGCUGAGGCUCGAAAGCGUGGGGAGCAAACAGGAUUAGAUACCCUGGUAGUCCACGCCGUAAACGAUGAUUGCUAGUUGUCGGGAUGCAUGCAUUUCGGUGACGCAGCUNACGCAUUAAGCAAUCCGCCUGGGGAGUACGGUCGCAAGAUUA